rnacentral:lncRNA from 1 species
AUCUCCUUCCUCUUCGAGAAAGAACUUAUCCUCAAGGUCGUAGCUGAGCCACAAACUAUGAAAAUCGAUGCUUGAUAUAGUUCCAGUCCUCCCAAGAUACUUCCUUUUCACUCAGAUUAGCCCACUGAACCAACACUUUCACCCAACUCCAUUAUUGAUCCUUACCAUUUUCCUCUAAAUAAUGGUGAUUGGUUGAUCAAGACUUUUCCUUCCAUAUCGCUGAGGGGAGGUUGUUGUGCUGGAACAAUGGUGGGACCUAUGCGACGCUUCAGCUGCGAGACAUGAAUCACAGAUGUAUUGCGACCCCGGUGAAAACUGUAAUCGGUAAGCUACAACUCCUAUUUUAUGUUCAAUAGUGUAUGGACUAUAGUAUUUGGCACAUAAUUUUACAUUUCUUAGCACAUCUAUAAAGGAUUGUCCAUAAGGCUGUAGCUUUAGGUAAACUUGGUCCCCCACCGCUAGUAUUCUUUCUGAUCUCAAUCUAUCUGCGUAGAAAUUCAUACGAGCUUGUGCUUGGGUUAAGUUGUCCUUCAGUGUUUGUAGCAUAUGUUGACGUUGAGCUACACUCACUCUUGCUGGUGACUGGCCUGUGUUAGGUAAAGAUCCUAUAGGUAUUUAUGAUGGUGGAUAACCAUACAGUGCUUGAAAAGGGGUGAUUUUCAGUGCACUAUGGUAAUUGGUGUUGUAUCACUACUCCGCCAAAUGAAGCCAUUUGGUCCAUUAGCUUAGGAUUAUCAAAUACCAUUGCGCGUAGAUAAGUUUCCAGGCACAUGUUUAGCCUUUCAGUCUUCCCAUCUGACUGCGGAUGAUAGGAUGUGUUCAUGUUCAGUUUAGUGACCAUAGAAAAGAUGCUGCCAGAAAUGGCUAGUGAAUAUAGGAUCCCUAUCAGACACUAUUGUUUUAGGUAGCCCAUGUAAUCUAUAGAUCUCUUUGAGAAAUAGAUCUGUAACCUCAGGAGCUGAAAUGGGUGUUUAAUGUCCAAGAAAUUGUCAUACUUGGUGAACCUAUCGAUCACCACUAGCACUGUAUUUUUGCCCCCUGAAUUGGGUAAUCCGUCCACAAAAUCCAUGGAUAUAUCUUGCCAUGCCUAGUCUGAAAUUGGCAGUGGCUGGAGCAAGCCUAGUGAAUGAACAUUUUCAAAUUUGACCUUUUGACAAACAUCACCACUACUCCACCCAUUUACACACUUUUUUUUCAUAUUUGACUAAUGAAACAGAAGUUGCAACCUCUUGUAAGUACCUUGCUGACCUGAGUGUCCACCAAUAGCAGAAUGAUGCAUAGUUUGUAGAAUUUUUUCCCUUAGGUCAGUGCCCUUACCCACAUAGAUCUUCUGCUUGUAUCUGAUGACUCCCCGGUGUAAGUUGUAGUCCUCCUUACUGUUAGUAUUGAUAGUUAACUCCCUCAGUAGUUGUAAGGCUAUAGGAUCCCCUUCAUAACUAUCAACAAUAUCCUGCAGCCAAGUAGCAUGUGGGCUGGAUAUGGCUAAUAGAGUAGACUUAUCUUUUUGUCUCCUUGAGAGAGCCUCUGCCAACCUGUUCCCAUUGUACUUUUUGUAUUGAACCUCAUAGUUAAGGCUCAUAAGCUUGGUUAACAUUUUUCGUUGUAAGGUUGUAGUUAUCUUCUGUUCCAAUAGGCAUUUCAAGAUUUGAUGAUCAGUCUUAACAAUGAAGUGCCCCCCUUAUAAUUAACGCCUCCACCUGUCCACAGCUGAAAGAACUACCAUAUACUCUUUUUUAUAAGUAGAUAGUCCCUUGUGCUUGAGUGCUAGUGAUUUGCUGAGAAAAGCUACAGGGCUACCUUCCUGCAUCAACACAAAACCCAUUCUAGUAGCACAUGCAUCAGUUUCUACCACAGAAGGCUUGGUGAAAUCAGCCAAACCAAGCAUUGGUAUUGUUGACAUAGUUGUCUUAAUUGCUGAAAGGUUGAUUCUUCUUCUUCAUUCGAGUGAAAGGCAUUCUUCUUAAGCAUAUUAGUUAAUGAUCUGCUUAUGAUUCCAUAAGAUUUAAAAAAUCUCCUAUAGUAGCCAGUCAAUCCUAGGAAUCGCCUUAAAUCCUUCACAGAUUUCGGUACAGGCCAAUUUACCAUUGCUUCAAUUUUAGUAGGGUCAGUAGAAACCCCCUCACCUGAGAUAAUGUGUCUCAAGUAUUCCACUUUAUUGUGUCCAAAAGCACAUUUAGACAUCUUUGUAUAGAGUUGUUCCUUUUGUAAAAUCUCUAGUACUUUUCUGAGAUGUAGUACAUGAGUCUCCAUUGAAGAACUGUAGACUAAUAUAUCAUCAAAAAAACACCAAUGCAAACUUCCUCAAAAAGGAUUUAAACACCUGAUUCAUGAGGCUUUGGAAAGUGGCUCGGACAUUGGUCUAGUCAAAGGGCAUGACCUUAAAUUCUUAGUGCCCUAUAUAUGUUCUAAAGUAAGUUUUGUAGAUGUCUCCUUCCUUCAUCCUUAUUUGGUGAUACCCAACCUUGAAGUCAAUUUUUGAAUAAAUACAAGAACUGCUAUGUUCAUCUAUAAGAUCAUCUACCAACGGAAUUGGAAACUUAUCCUUGAUUCUCAUUUUGUUUAUUUCCCUAUAAUCAAUGCAAAAUCUCCAACUUCCAUCUUUUUUCUUAACUAAUAAUACAGGGGAAGAGAAUGGGGAGUGGUUGGGUUGUAUAGUUCCAUUAUUAAGCAUUUCAUAUGCUUUUCUAUCUCACUUCUGAAAAUAAUUGUACAUAUAUGGUCUGAUACUAAUAGGUACUGCUUCAGGUUUGAGUGGAAUCUAAUGACCACGACUUCUUUUUGGUUGCAGACACUUUGGUUCAGCAAACACUCCUAGAAACUUAGCUAUAAUGUCCUGAAUCUUGUCAGGUAUGCUACUUGGUAACUCUGUAGUUUGUGCAUUAAUAGUGAACAAAUAUGCCCAUAGCACCUGUCCUUUCUUCAAUAAUUGUUUCACCCCAGUGGUUGUCAUACUCUAGAGUUUGCCUUCCUCAUAGUAUCCCUUUAAGUCUACCUUUUUUACUUUCACACCCACUUGUAGUCUAUACGAAAUAAAGUCAAACAAGAUAGGAUUAUGUUUUAUCAUCCAAUCCACUCCUAAGACUACAUCACAAACCCCAAUAUCUAAUAAUCUCAGCUUGUAUUCAAAUUCAAUUCCAUGAGCUUUUCACUUGAAUUGAGGACAAGGGUGAUAACUCAUCAUAUGCCCCCAUUUGCCACAUCUACCCUUAUUGGUACAGCUUCUUGAAUUGUAAUAACGACCCGGCCAAUUGUUUUUGUAAUUUACACCCUGAUUCUUUUUUAACUGCUUCACCUAAGUUCAUUUAUGCUAUUUUAAUUUGUUGGGACGUUCGGGUUAUGAUUCGGAGUGUUUUGGGACACUUAGUCCCUAAAUGAGAGCUUAAGAGUUGAAAAGUGGUCCAUAAUUGGAACAAUGUGAAGACAGUCUCGGAAUAGAAAUUUUAUGGUUUAUUUAGCUCCGUUAGGUGAUUUUGGGGUUGGAAGCAUGUUCGUAAUGUAUUUUGGAAGUCCAUAGCUCAUUUAGUCUUGAAAUGCCAAAGUUUAUAUUUUUAAAGUUUCCGGGCUGAUAGUGAGUUUUUUUAUAUGAGGGUCGGAAUGGAAUUCUGGAAGUUGCAGUAGCUUCAUCAUGUCAUUUGGGAUGUGUGUGAAAACUUACAGGUCAUUAGGAUGUAUUUUGGUUAGGUUUUUGAUUGAAAGCGUAUUUGGAAGAAAAUGGAAGUCCUUAGGCUUGGAUAAUUGAUUAAAUCAGGUUUUCGAUGUUGCUUUAGGUGUUUAAAGAAUUGGUGAAAGUUUUAAAGAGGUAUUAGGUGGUAUUGGUACUUUUGGUUGAGGUCCCGGGGGCCUCGGGAUGAUUUCGGGUGGUUGGCGGAAGACUUUGGAGUGAAUGAAUUGCUUAAGGCUUAUGUCUGCUGUCAUAACCGCACGUACAUUUUAGGUUCUGCAGGUGAGGAGCCACAUAUGCGGCCGGGCCAUCGCAUAUACGGGUUUUGGGCUCCUUCGGUUUUUCACAGGUGCAAAUGCUUUACCGUAGAUGCGGUUACGCACCUAUGAGUCUCCCAUCGCAGAUGCAGCCCCUGCACCCUUUAAUGAAAACCGCAGAAGCGGUCCUUUUUUUGCAUAAGUGAGACCUCAUAAGCGGUCUCUUAUCCGUAGAAGCAGAAAUGUCUGUUCAGAUAAUCAAUUUUCGAGUGUUAGUUUUCAUAAGUUAGAAAAAUCAAAUUAAGUUCGGGGACGGGCGAUUUUGAAGGGGUUUUGAAGAAAAGAUUAUUGGGUAAUGUUUAUUUGAUACCUUCUAGUUAUAUUUCAUCAUUAUGUUGUUAACUCUAUCAUUAAAAUUCGAAUUGAGGAUCAAACAUUGGAAAUUUUGGGUGAAAUUUUAUAGGCUAAACUAUUGAUUUUUGAGUGGGCAUUUGACCUCCGGUUUGGGAGAUUGUUAUUUGGUUAGACUCGUGAGAGUAUGAGGGUUCUGAAAAUAUGAAAAUUAUUCGAUUCUGAGAUGUUGGACUGAGGGGAAUUUUGGUCAUUUUACCUAUUUUCGCGCCCUAGCUUUUAAUUUAAUAGUGGAAUCAAUUGUUUGCAAUGUUAUUUAUGAUAUGUAAUUGAAUUGAAUAGAUUUGCGCCAUUUGGAGUCGGAUACUCGUGGCAAAUGCGUGGUUCCUAGUUGAGUUUGAACUGGUUCGAGGUAAGUGUCUUGUCUAACUUUGUGUGAGGGACAUUCUCCCCUUAGGACUUGUUAUUUGAUGAUUGAGUGCCUUGUACAUGGGGUGACGAGCGCGUACUUAUUCUAAUUGUUG